ACGAACGCUGGCGGCGUGCCUAAUACAUGCAAGUAGAACGCUGAAGAGAGGAGCUUGCUCUUCUUGGAUGAGUUGCGAACGGGUGAGUAACGCGUAGGUAACCUGCCUUGUAGCGGGGGAUAACUAUUGGAAACGAUAGCUAAUACCGCAUAACAAUGGAUGACACAUGUCAUUUAUUUGAAAGGGGCAAUUGCUCCACUACAAGAUGGACCUGCGUUGCAUUAGCUAGUAGGUGAGGUAAUGGCUCACCUAGGCGACGAUACAUAGCCGACCUGAGAGGGUGAUCGGCCACACUGGGACUGAGACACGGCCCAGACUCCUACGGGAGGCAGCAGUAGGGAAUCUUCGGCAAUGGGGGCAACCCUGACCGAGCAACGCCGCGUGAGUGAAGAAGGUUUUCGGAUCGUAAAGCUCUGUUGUAAGUCAAGAACGGGUGUGAGAGUGGAAAGUUCACACUGUGACGGUAGCUUACCAGAAAGGGACGGCUAACUACGUG
rnacentral:rRNA from 1 species